rnacentral:lncRNA from 1 species
UUGGCUGCACCAAUUGCAGAAGUAAUAUGAUCGUAUCCAGGAGCAAUAUCAGUUGUCAAAGGACCAAGGGUAUAGAAAGGUGCUUCAUUGCACCACUCAAGCUGCUUUUGCAUAUUUUCUGGAAUCUUGUGCAUUGGGAUGUGUCCAGGUCCUUCAUUCAUUACCUGAAAAGCGCCAAAAAAAAAUCAUGCUGAAGUUAUAAGAUAAUCAAAACCAUGUAAAGCCAGUAAUACGCUUCAAAUUGAGCAGUACUUUAGAAACAUUUUAUGAACAGAAUGCUAAAGGAGCACUUCCAAGGUGCAUUGAGAUACCUGUACGUCCUUUUCCCAAGCCCUACGAGUCAGUUCCCCUUGGGUUAAAAGCUCAGCAAACUGUGCAGUGUCAUUGGCAUCAUAUAUGGAUCCAGGUCUUAGUCCAUCCCCGAUUGAAAGCGCCACAUCAUAUUGGUUGCAGAUAUCAAGUAUGUCAUCCCAAUGCUCAUAAGCAAAAUUCUCCUUAUGGUACGCCAGGCACCAUUUUGCAUGAAUAGAUCCUCCUCGAGAAACUAUUCCUGUCAUGCGUUUUGCUGUUAAGGGAAUGUACCGCAGCAGUACCCCAGCAUGGAUUGUGAAGUAAUCUACACCCUGCUCAGCUUGCUCAAUCAG